rnacentral:rRNA from 1 species
UACGAAGGGGGCUAGCGUUGCUCGGAAUUACUGGGCGUAAAGCGCACGUAGGCGGCUCUUUAAGUCGGGGGUGAAAUCCUGGAGCUCAACUCCAGAACUGCCUUCGAUACUGAAGAGCUCGAGUCCGGGAGAGGUGAGUGGAACUGCGAGUGUAGAGGUGAAAUUCGUAGAUAUUCGCAAGAACACCAGUGGCGAAGGCGGCUCACUGACCCGGUACUGACGCUGAGGUGCGAAAGCGUGGGGAGCAAACAGG